rnacentral:rRNA from 1 species
UCAAGGGAAACUGCGAGGACUCUUCGGAGAGCGUUCACAGGUGCUGCAUGGUUGUCGUCAGCUCGUGCCGUGAGGUGUUCGGUUAAGUCCGCAAACGAGCGCAACCCUCGGCGUUAGUUACAAGUGUCUAACGCGACUGCCCGUGGCAAACGGGAGGAAGGUGGGGAUGAUGUCAAAUCAGCAUGGCCUUUAUAUCCAGGGCUACACACACGCUACAAUGGCGCAUACAAUGGGUAGCGAGACCGCGAGGUGGAGCCAAUCCUAAAAAGUGCGUCACAGUUCGGAUUGCAGGCUGCAACUCGCCUGCAUGGAGUCGGAGUUGCUAGUAACCGUGUAUCAGCACGGCACGGUGAAUACGUUCCCGGGCCUUGUACACACCGCCCGUCACGUCAUGGGAGUUGGUUACGCCUGAAGUCGGGAAGCUAACCGCAAGGGGGCUACCGCCGAAGGCAGGACUGAUGACUGGGACGAAGUCGUAACAAGGUAGCUGUAGCGGAAGC